CCUACGGGAGGCAGCAGUGGGGAAUAUUGGGCAAUGGGCGCAAGCCUGACCCAGCAACGCCGCGUGAAGGCAGAAGGCUUUCGGGUUGUAAACUUCUUUUCUCAGGGACGAAGAAAGUGACGGUACCUGCGUAAUCAGCCACGGCUACCUACGUGCCAGACGCCGCGGUAAUACGUAGGUGGCAAGCGUUAUCCGGAUUUAUUGGGGGGAAAGGGCGUGUAGGCGGGAGCGUAAGUCAGCUGUGAAAACUCAGGGCUCAACCCUGAGCCUGCAUUUGAAACUGUGUUUCUUGAGUGCUGUAGAGGCAAGCGGAAUUCCGUGUGUAGAGGUGAAAUGCGUAGAUAUACGGAGGAACACCAGUGGCGAAGGCAGAUUGCUGGACAGUAACUGACGCUGAGGCGCGAAAGCGUGGGGAGCAAACAGGAUUAGAUACCCCGGUAGUC
rnacentral:rRNA from 1 species